rnacentral:rRNA from 1 species
UACGAGGGGGGCAAGCGUUGUUCGGAAUUAUUGGGCGUAAAGAGCGUGUAGGCGGCCUGACAGGUCUGCUGUGAAAACUCGAGGCUCAACCUCGAGAUGUCGGCGGAAACCGUCUGGCUAGAGUCCGGAAGAGGAGAGUGGAAUUCCUGGUGUAGCGGUGAAAUGCGCAGAUAUCAGGAAGAACACCUAUGGCGAAGGCAGCUCUCUGGGACGGUACUGACGCUGAGACGCGAAAGCGUGGGGAGCGAACAGG